rnacentral:rRNA from 1 species
AACGAACGCUGGCGGCAUGCCUAACACAUGCAAGUCGAACGAGACCUUCGGGUCUAGUGGCGCACGGGUGCGUAACGCGUGGGAACCUGCCCUUAGGUUCGGAAGAACUCCCCGAAAGGGGUGCUAAUACCGGAUAAUGUCUUCGGACCAAAGAUUUAUCGCCUUUGGAUGGGCCCGCGUUGGAUUAGCUAGUUGGUAGGGUAAAAGCCUACCAAGGCGACGAUCCAUAGCUGGUCUGAGAGGAUGAUCAGCCACACUGGGACUGAGACACGGCCCAGACUCCUACGGGAGGCCGCAGUGGGGAAUAUUGGACAAUGGGCGAAAGCCUGAUCCAGCAAUGCCGCGUGAGUGAUGAAGGCCUUAGGGUUGUAAAGCUCUUUUACCCGGGAUGAUAAUGACAGUACCGGGAGAAUAAGCUCCGGCUAACUCCGUG